UCAAGAGAAACUACAAUUCUGAAGUCAUAACUCUGUGGAAGCUUUUUUGUCAGAUACGGUUAUCUUUGGGUUUAAUUAUUAUAGCAGCUGAGUUUUAACCCUUGAUUUGCUUCUAAAUCUGAAGCAUUAUAUUACUAAAACAUUUUUUGAUUUGUGAAUAUGUUGUUCAAUGGAUUAUAUCUCAUUUUGCAGUAGUAGUUGCAGUGCCUGAAAGAUUGACAAAAAAAUAGUGCUAGCUUCUGCUGACAAAUGUAACAAUCAACUUACCAAUACUGCCUUCUCUUCUGAUAGCUAUGUUAUCCGUAAUAUUUUAAGAACUCAGUUCUUCAUAAGACUUGUGUUGUUUUUGAUUUUUUCCCAAGUCUGGUUGAUCCUUGUGUUGUUCUUUUUCAAUUGUGUAUUGUCUGUUCAGCUAUUCUGCAGGAGUCACAUUCUUAAAAACCUUAACCAUAUCAAAAAUUGUGUUUAAAGGAGGAUUAUUCAGAUUAGCAAGCUUUUACUAGGAGGAGUUUAAAUGCUGAUGUAUUUCGGUAACUCUAAAUACUGAGCAACUUUAUUCUAACUAUAAAAUAGAUAGCCUUUCUUUGUUUUCACUUUCACUAUCAUUAGCACCGUGUUUAAUACCUUUUCUUCAUCUAUAACACAAUUAUAACGAUAUACAAAGCCACUCAAAUAAAGCAGAUAUAUUGUGCUUUAAAAAAAAAAAAGAAAAAAAAAAGAAGUCAUUAUGUGGCACACAAUGAGGUGUGACUCGAAUCUAGAAUCUCCAGUGAAAACCAAUGAAACAGGGUCAAACCCCGUGUCUACUAAAAAUAAAAAAAUGAGCCAGGCUUGGUGGCGCUGAGGCAGGAGAAUCGCUCGAACCCAGGAGGUAGAGGUUGCAGUGAGCUGAGAUCACACCACUGCACUCCAGCCAGGGCGAGGGACAGAGCAAGACUCCCUCUCAGAAACAAACACACAAAGCCAAUAAAGAUGUUAAGGUGUUUAACUCAACGUGUCAGGCUCAGGUCUCUUGACAGGAUACAUCCAGCACCCGGGGAAACGUCGAGGGGUGGGGUGGAAUCUAUUUUGUGGCCUCAAGGAAGGGUUUGAAAGAUAGUCCCGCAAAUGUGACGGCCUAAGGAAGCCCCUCCGCCCAAGAAGCGAUAUUCAUUUGUAUCCUGUAGCCACCCACGAGGGAGAAUCGGGCUCUCUACAGACCCCCAAUCCCCACCCCACCCGAACCCACCCCCCUGCCUCGUGAAAUGAGCUCUCGCUCCGUCGGGCUCUAUUCACGCCGUGUGGUUUUGUAACCUCCAGCGUGUGUGCGUGGGUUUCGGGGUGGGGUGGGGUGGGGUGGGGGCGGCUAUGGACAGAGAAGGGGAUAAAGCGGCGGUGCCCUGCUGGUGUCCGGGACGUGGGACGUGAGUGGGGUGGCCAGAGCCUAGGGAACUCAUCGCCUGUCAAGACGUCUCCCCUCCUGGUCCCCUCUCUGACCUAUGCUCCACAUCUUCACAGUUCACUGGGGACCUUGUGGGUGGAAGUCACCAUCCCUUUGGACUUUAGCCGAGGAAGGCCGGGCUCCCAAGAGUCUCCCCGGAGUUGGGGCCUUGGGCAGGCUCACAAGGAUGCUGACGGUGAUGGUCACAGUGAUGUAAGUUGGAGGCCUCUGGCCAAUGCAGAGGUAUCCAUUUGAUCUCGGUGGGACAAGUCAGCUUUGCGGAGUCCCGCGCGUCCUUCCAGAGACUCAUCCAGCGCUAGCAAGCAUGGUCUGGAGGAUCCCAGCUCCCAGCAGAGGCACUUUUGUUCACACAGAAUACUGGGCAGAAACGUUCUCAGCAGGUUUAGACCUCCUAGUCAAAAAGCCAAAGCCACUUCUGGGAUUUUUUUUCAAAGAGCCAGUGGUUCCACAAUGGGCCGUGGGUAGUUGUGGAAAUGGAGAGAAGUGUUUGCAGAUACAUAUUUGAGACAGAACAGACAGGGCUCGGUCACAGGUCAUGAAGGACACGAGCAGAUGCACAUUGAGAAAACCCUCCCAGCAUCCUAGGUGAACAGAGGUAUGAUUUUUUGAGACAGUCGAGGGAGAUGCAACCCCAGAUUUUAGGGCUGGAUCUUUAUUAAUAUGUAGUAUCUAUGAGGUAUCCAAGUCCAGAAAUUGACUCACCAGUUCUGUACAGCGUUCGGUAGGGAGAUCAAAUCUGGGAUGUCUAAAGUUAAGAAUUCAGGCUGUGGUAAUGGAUUAGAUUAGAUGCACUUGAACUUAUUUUGCAAAGAAAGAGAGGGUGGGAGACAGCGAGAGCCAGAGAGCGAGCGAGAGAGAGAGAGACAGAGACACAAAGAUACACAAAGAGAGAAAGACAGAAAGAGAGAGACAGACAGACAGAUAAAGACACAGAGAAAGAGAGAGAUGGACAGAGACAGAGAGAAACAGAAAGAGAGAGAGAGAGACAGACAGAGAGAGACAGACAGACAGGCAGAGAAAGAGAGUAAGACAGAAGAUAGGCACAGACAGAGAGACAGAGAGACACAGAAAAAGAAAGAGAGAGACAGACAGACAGAGAAAGAGACACAGAGAGAAAGACAGAGACGAACAGAGAGAGACAGAGAGAAACAGAUAGAAAGAGAGAAGGUCCUAGCCCAGUAGCGAUACAGUGCCUUUUCUUUUAUUUUCUCUUUCUUUUCUUUUCUUUUUUUCUUUCUUU
rnacentral:lncRNA from 10 species